CCAGGGCUCUGAUGUGUCUCUCACAGCUCCUAAGAGGUGACACAGCUGCUUUCUCUAGGACUUGGUGCUAAAACAGUCACUGCAGCCUCUGCUUGGGACUUUAAGGAUCCCUGUCUGCUAUUUCUACACCCAGCAUCAGAACAUUAUUUAAUCACCUCAACAUCCCUGCAUUAUUUUAAUAUUGGUGAUAAAUAUAUA